UAAAUGUUCACAAAUAAAUGUUCACUUGUGUUUCUUUGUUUGACAUGCUUCAUUUGUUCCUUCAGAAGUGAAAAUGAUUACAUCCUAGCAGCCAUCAAGACUCAGAGUUAGUGUCAGUGAACGUACAUUAAAUAAAAAGUUGAAUACAUUAGUUAUAAGGGUAAAAUAGGUUUAGACAUUCAAUUAAAAGUUCAAAGAAUGUUCACUGUAAACACACACACACAGAAAACAUCUCAACGAUGAUAUAUUUAUUUACAGUAGACUUAAUCUUUCUUUCAUUCAUUCCGUGUUGUCGAUACAUCAAUCUCUGUCUUUCAGUCACUUGACACAACGGUCGUGACAUAUAAAAAAAAAAUACACUUGACAAAAAAGUUGAAAGAUAAAAAAAAAAUAAAAUGAGUAAGUCACAUAAAAUAUGCAUGUCAACAAUAUUCAGUACAGUGUAGUUUCUAACUACUUCACGGGAAUUAGUAUCUAGGAAACACCACAAUGGUUAGACUCAACCUGGCGAGAAUAUAAACAUGUCACAGCAGUAACGGCGCUCAGAUGCUGUGAGGGGGUGUUUAACUGCUCCGGAUAACAAGUAUCUUGGGGGAUAUAGAAAAUGUUAGAAAUUUAGAAAGAAAAGGAUAUGUGCCCACAUUGUACAGUCGUGUACAACCAAUUCGUGAAGGCAAUUUGUAUAUAUCUUUUUUAAAAAAAUAAAUAAGCUAACGCUAUUUUUUUUUUUUAAAGUUAAAUUUUGGAAAGGGGUGUUGUCUACGGUCACACUAAUAGCGGAUCAGACCUGGUGACACCCUCCCUCACAACGCGUCUGCAUCGAUGCGUUUACUUUGCUAUGUUCAAAUCAGGGCAUUGAAAGAGAUGUGUUCAAAUCAGGCAUAAAACUUUUAAAUAGGUUUGAAAAACGAAAAACAAAAUAAUCACCAAAAAUCAUUUCGUGAAUUGCGAUGUGUUAGGAUAUCUACUUGGUUAUCUACUUGGUUAUUACUUGGUUAUCUACUUGG